CAGCCGCCGCGGUAAUACGGAGGGUGCAAGCGUUAAUCGGAAUUACUGGGCGUAAAGCGCACGCAGGCGGUUUGUUAAGUCAGAUGUGAAAUCCCCGAGCUUAACUUGGGAACUGCAUUUGAAACUGGCAAGCUAGAGUCUUAUAGAGGGGGGUAGAAUUCCAGGUGUAGCGGUGAAAUGCGUAGAGAUCUGGAGGAAUACCGGUGGCGAAGGCGGCCCCCUGGACAAAGACUGACGCUCAGGUGCGAAAGCGUGGGGAGCAAACAGGAUUAGAUACCCCGGUAGUCCAUGUCUCUUAUAC
rnacentral:rRNA from 1 species